rnacentral:rRNA from 1 species
UACGUAGGGGGCAAGCGUUGUUCGGAAUUACUGGGCGUAAAGCGCGCGUAGGCGGCUUUGUAAGUUAGAGGUGAAAGCCCGGAGCUUAACUCCGGAACUGCCUUUAAGACUGCAUCGCUAGAAUUGUGGAGAGGUGAGUGGAAUUCCGAGUGUAGAGGUGAAAUUCGUAGAUAUUCGGAAGAACACCAGUGGCGAAGGCGACUCACUGGACACAUAUUGACGCUGAGGUGCGAAAGCGUGGGGAGCAAACAGG